GUCCCUGUAGCACAAUGGAUAGCGCGUUGGACUUCUAAUCUAGAGGUCGUGGGUUCUAUUCCCACCGGGGAUG